UACAGAGGGGGCGAGCGUUGUUCGGAAUUACUGGGCGUAAAGGGCGCGUAGGCGGCCUUCUAAGUCGAACGUGAAAUCCCUGGGCUCAACCCAGGAACUGCGUCCGAUACUGGAAGGCUUGAAUCCGGGAGAGGGAUGCGGAAUUCCAGGUGUAGCGGUGAAAUGCGUAGAUAUCUGGAGGAACACCGGUGGCGAAGGCGGCAUCCUGGACCGGCAUUGACGCUGAGGCGCGAAAGCCAGGGGAGCAAACGGG
rnacentral:rRNA from 1 species